UACGGAAGGCAGCAGUGAGGAAUAUUGGUCAAUGGGUGCAAGCCUGAACCAGCCAUCCCGCGUGAAGGACGACUGCCCUAUGGGUUGUAAACUUCUUUUGUAUAGGGAUAAACCUACCCUCGUGAGGGUAGCUGAAGGUACUAUACGAAUAAGCACCGGCUAACUCCGUGCCAGCAGCCGCGGUAAUACGGAGGGUGCAAGCGUUAUCCGGAUUUAUUGGGUUUAAAGGGUCCGUAGGCGGACUUAUAAGUCAGUGGUGAAAGCCUGUCGCUUAACGAUAGAACUGCCAUUGAUACUGUAAGUCUUGAGUAUAUUUUGAGGUAGCUGGAAUAAGUAGUGUAGCGGUGAAAUGCAUAGAUAUUACUUAGAACACCAAUUGCGAAAGGCAGGUUACCAAGAUAUAACUGACGCUGAGGGGACGAAAGCGUGGGGAGCGAACAGGGAUUAGAUACC
rnacentral:rRNA from 1 species